rnacentral:rRNA from 1 species
GAUGAACGCUAGCGGCAGGCUUAAUACAUGCAAGUCGAGGGGUAGCAGGGUAGCAAUACCGCUGACGACCGGCAAACGGGUGCGGAACACGUACACAACCUUCCUUUUAGUGGGGAAUAGCCGAGAGAAAUUUGGAUUAAUACCCCAUAACAUAGCGAUGUGGCAUCACAUUGUUAUUAUAGGUUUACCGCUAAGAGAUGGGUGUGCGGCUGAUGAGGUAGUUGGCGGAGUAACAGCCCACCAAGCCAACGAUCAGUAGCUGAUGUGAGAGCAUGAUCAGCCACACGGGCACUGAGACACGGGCCCGACUCCUACGGGAGGCAGCAGUAAGGAAUAUUGGACAAUGGACGCAAGUCUGAUCCAGCCAUGCCGCGUGAAGGAUUAAGGCCCUCUGGGUUGUAAACUUCUUUUAUAGGGGACGAAAAAAGGGCUUUCUAGCUCGUCUGACGGUACCCUAUGAAUAAGCACCGGCUAACUCCGUGCCAGCAGCCGCCGUAAGAC